CUACGGGGUGCUGCAGUGGGGAAUAUUGCACAAUGGGCGCAGGCCUGAUGCAGCCAUGCCGCGUGUAUGAAGAAGGCCUUCGGGUUGUAAAGUACUUUCAGCGGGGAGGGAGGGAGUAAAGUUAAUACCUUUGCUCAUUGACGUUACCCGCAGAAGAAGCACCGGCUAACUCCGUGCCAGCAGCCGCGGUAAUACGGAGGGUGCAAGCGUUAAUCGGAAUUACUGGGCGUAAAGCGCACGCAGGCGGUUUGUUAAGUCAGAUGUGAAAUCCCCGGGCUCAACCUGGGAACUGCAUCUGAUACUGGCAAGCUUGAGUCUCGUAGAGGGGGGUAGAAUUCCAGGUGUAGCGGUGAAAUGCGUAGAGAUCUGGAGGAAUACCGGUGGCGAAGGCGGCCCCCUGGACGAAGACUGACGCUCAGGUGCGAAAGCGUGGGGAGCAAACAGGAUUAGAUACCCCGGUAGUC
rnacentral:rRNA from 1 species